AAAUUGAAGAGUUUGAUCAUGGCUCAGAUUGAACGCUGGCGGCAGGCCUAACACAUGCAAGUCGAACGGUAGCACAGAGAGCUUGCUCUCGGGUGACGAGUGGCGGACGGGUGAGUAAUGUCUGGGAAACUGCCUGAUGGAGGGGGAUAACUACUGGAAACGGUGGCUAAUACCGCAUAACGUCGCAAGACCAAAGAGGGGGACCUUCGGGCCUCUUGCCAUCAGAUGUGCCCAGAUGGGAUUAGCUAGUUGGUGAGGUAACGGCUCACCAAGGCGACGAUCCCUAGCUGGUCUGAGAGGAUGACCAGCCACACUGGAACUGAGACACGGUCCAGACUCCUACGGGAGGCAGCAGUGGGGAAUAUUGCACAAUGGGCGCAAGCCUGAUGCAGCCAUGCCGCGUGUAUGAAGAAGGCCUUCGGGUUGUAAAGUACUUUCAGCGGGGAGGAAGGGAGUAAGGUUAAUAACCUUAUU
rnacentral:rRNA from 4 species